rnacentral:rRNA from 1 species
GCCCUACGGGAGGCAGCAGUGGGGAAUAUUGCACAAUGGGGGAAACCCUGAUGCAGCGACGCCGCGUGAGCGAUGAAGUAUUUCGGUAUGUAAAGCUCUAUCAGCAGGGAAGAAAAUGACGGUACCUGACUAAGAAGCCCCGGCUAACUACGUGCCAGCAGCCGCGGUAAUACGUAGGGGGCAAGCGUUAUCCGGAUUUACUGGGUGUAAAGGGAGCGUAGACGGCGGGGCAAGCCAGAUGUGAAAGCCCGGGGCUCAACCCCGGGACUGCAUUUGGAACUGGGCUGCUAGAGUGUCGGAGAGGC